GCAGACAUACUCAAGUCUUUGCUGUACACUCCAGCUUGGGGCUUUUUCUGUCUGCUACAUGAACACGCAGAAUGUAACACUGCUGGCUUUACAAGAAGGCCAGUGUCCGCAUGUUCUGCUACAUUAGA